GACGAACGCUGGCGGCGUGCUUAACACAUGCAAGUCGAACGGAAAGGCCCUGCUUUUGUGGGGUGCUCGAGUGGCGAACGGGUGAGUAACACGUGAGUAACCUGCCCUUGACUUUGGGAUAACUUCAGGAAACUGGGGCUAAUACCGGAUAUGAGCUCCUGCUGCAUGGUGGGGGUUGGAAAGUUUCGGCGGUUGGGGAUGGACUCGCGGCUUAUCAGCUUGUUGGUGGGGUAGUGGCUUACCAAGGCUUUGACGAGUAGCCGGCCUGAGAGGGUUACCGGCCACAUUGGGACUGAGAUACGGCCCAGACUCCUACGGGAGGCAGCAGUGGAGAAUAUUGCACAAUGGGCGGAAGCCUGAUGCAGCAACGCCGCGUGCGGGAUGACGGCCUUCGGGUUGUAAACCGCUUUCGCCUGUGACGAAGCGUGAGUGACGGUAAUGGGUAAAGAAGCACCGGCUAACUACGUG
rnacentral:rRNA from 1 species